UUAAGCGACUAAGCGUACACGGUGGAUGCCCUGGCAGUCAGAGGCGAUGAAGGACGUGCUAAUCUGCGAUAAGCGUCGGUGAGGUGAUAUGAACCGUUAUAACCGGCGAUUUCCGAAUGGGGAAACCCAGUGUGAUUCGUCACACUAUCAUUAACUGAAUCCAUAGGUUAAUGAGGCGAACCGGGGGAACUGAAACAUCUAAGUACCCCGAGGAAAAGAAAUCAACCGAGAUUCCCCCAGUAGCGGCGAGCGAACGGGGAGGAGCCCAGAGCCUGAAUCAGUGUGUGUGUUAGUGGAAGCGUCUGGAAAGGCGUGCGAUACAGGGUGACAGCCCCGUACACAAAAAUGCACAUGCUGUGAGCUCGAUGAGUAGGGCGGGACACGUGGUAUCCUGUCUGAAUAUGGGGGGACCAUCCUCCAAGGCUAAAUACUCCUGACUGACCGAUAGUGAACCAGUACCGUGAGGGAAAGGCGAAAAGAACCCCGGCGAGGGGAGUGAAAAAGAACCUGAAACCGUGUACGUACAAGCAGUGGGAGCCUCUUAAUGGGGUGACUGCGUACCUUUUGUAUAAUGGGUCAGCGACUUAUAUUCUGUAGCAAGGUUAACCGAAUAGGGGAGCCGAAGGGAAACCGAGUCUUAACUGGGCGUUAAGUUGCAGGGUAUAGACCCGAAACCCGGUGAUCUAGCCAUGGGCAGGUUGAAGGUUGGGUAACACUAACUGGAGGACCGAACCGACUAAUGUUGAAAAAUUAGCGGAUGACUUGUGGCUGGGGGUGAAAGGCCAAUCAAACCGGGAGAUAGCUGGUUCUCCCCGAAAGCUAUUUAGGUAGCGCCUCGUGAAUUCAUCUCCGGGGGUAGAGCACUGUUUCGGCAAGGGGGUCAUCCCGACUUACCAACCCGAUGCAAACUGCGAAUACCGGAGAAUGUUAUCACGGGAGACACACGGCGGGUGCUAACGUCCGUCGUGAAGAGGGAAACAACCCAGACCGCCAGCUAAGGUCCCAAAGUCAUGGUUAAGUGGGAAACGAUGUGGGAAGGCCCAGACAGCCAGGAUGUUGGCUUAGAAGCAGCCAUCAUUUAAAGAAAGCGUAAUAGCUCACUGGUCGAGUCGGCCUGCGCGGAAGAUGUAACGGGGCUAAACCAUGCACCGAAGCUGCGGCAGCGACACUAUGUGUUGUUGGGUAGGGGAGCGUUCUGUAAGCCUGUGAAGGUGGCCUGUGAGGGUUGCUGGAGGUAUCAGAAGUGCGAAUGCUGACAUAAGUAACGAUAAAGCGGGUGAAAAGCCCGCUCGCCGGAAGACCAAGGGUUCCUGUCCAACGUUAAUCGGGGCAGGGUGAGUCGACCCCUAAGGCGAGGCCGAAAGGCGUAGUCGAUGGGAAACAGGUUAAUAUUCCUGUACUUGGUGUUACUGCGAAGGGGGGACGGAGAAGGCUAUGUUGGCCGGGCGACGGUUGUCCCGGUUUAAGCGUGUAGGCUGGUUUUCCAGGCAAAUCCGGAAAACCAAGGCUGAGGCGUGAUGACGAAGCACUACGGUGCUGAAGCGACAAAUGCCCUGCUUCCAGGAAAAGCCUCUAAGCAUCAGGUAACAUCAAAUCGUACCCCAAACCGACACAGGUGGUCAGGUAGAGAAUACCAAGGCGCUUGAGAGAACUCGGGUGAAGGAACUAGGCAAAAUGGUGCCGUAACUUCGGGAGAAGGCACGCUGAUAUGUAGGUGAAGCGACUUGCUCGUGGAGCUGAAAUCAGUCGAAGAUACCAGCUGGCUGCAACUGUUUAUUAAAAACACAGCACUGUGCAAACACGAAAGUGGACGUAUACGGUGUGACGCCUGCCCGGUGCCGGAAGGUUAAUUGAUGGGGUUAGCGGUAACGCGAAGCUCUUGAUCGAAGCCCCGGUAAACGGCGGCCGUAACUAUAACGGUCCUAAGGUAGCGAAAUUCCUUGUCGGGUAAGUUCCGACCUGCACGAAUGGCGUAAUGAUGGCCAGGCUGUCUCCACCCGAGACUCAGUGAAAUUGAACUCGCUGUGAAGAUGCAGUGUACCCGCGGCAAGACGGAAAGACCCCGUGAACCUUUACUAUAGCUUGACACUGAACAUUGAGCCUUGAUGUGUAGGAUAGGUGGGAGGCUUUGAAGUGUGGACGCCAGUCUGCAUGGAGCCGACCUUGAAAUACCACCCUUUAAUGUUUGAUGUUCUAACGUUGGCCCGUAAUCCGGGUUGCGGACAGUGUCUGGUGGGUAGUUUGACUGGGGCGGUCUCCUCCUAAAGAGUAACGGAGGAGCACGAAGGUUGGCUAAUCCUGGUCGGACAUCAGGAGGUUAGUGCAAUGGCAUAAGCCAGCUUGACUGCGAGCGUGACGGCGCGAGCAGGUGCGAAAGCAGGUCAUAGUGAUCCGGUGGUUCUGAAUGGAAGGGCCAUCGCUCAACGGAUAAAAGGUACUCCGGGGAUAACAGGCUGAUACCGCCCAAGAGUUCAUAUCGACGGCGGUGUUUGGCACCUCGAUGUCGGCUCAUCACAUCCUGGGGCUGAAGUAGGUCCCAAGGGUAUGGCUGUUCGCCAUUUAAAGUGGUACGCGAGCUGGGUUUAGAACGUCGUGAGACAGUUCGGUCCCUAUCUGCCGUGGGCGCUGGAGAACUGAGGGGGGCUGCUCCUAGUACGAGAGGACCGGAGUGGACGC
rnacentral:rRNA from 1 species